UACGAAGGGGGCUAGCGUUGCUCGGAAUGACUGGGCGUAAAGGGCGCGUAGGCGGUUUUGACAGUCAGACGUGAAAUUCCUGGGCUCAACCUGGGGGCUGCGCUUGAUACGUCGGGACUGGAGUGCGGAAGAGGGUCGUGGAAUUCCCAGUGUAGAGGUGAAAUUCGUAGAUAUUGGGAAGAACACCGGUGGCGAAGGAGGCGACCUGGUCCGUGACUGACGAUGAGGCGCGAAAGCGUGGGGAGCAAACAGG
rnacentral:rRNA from 1 species